rnacentral:rRNA from 1 species
AAAUUGAAGAGUUUGAUCAUGGCUCAGAUUGAACGCUGGCGGCAGGCCUAACACAUGCAAGUCGAACGGUAACAGAAAUCAGCUUGCUGAUUUGCUGACGAGUGGCGGACGGGUGAGUAAUGUCUGGGAAACUGCCU